UCUGAAAACAUUUUUUACGUGGUCUGUGAGUUUUGCAAGUUUUUGUUAAAACACGGUGGCAAGCCUAACUUAAAACCAAAAAUCUGUCCACUAUUGCUUUUGGGAAGGAGUCAAGAGAUUCAACUCUGUGCAAUAUGAAGUCAGGUUUCAUUUUGGGAGAUUGUGCUGGUGGCACGGUGGAAAAUGGAAUGGGAAAAGUAUGAGCAACAACAGCAAGAAGAAUCCUAGGGUAAUCCUUAAGAGACGAGCCCUUAAAUGAAUGUAGUAGCAUUGACAUAGAUAUAAGUGACGUUAAGGAGUUUUUGGAACCAAAAUAUGGCUAUUUUCACUGUAAAGACUGUAAGACCAGAUGGGAGAGUGCUUAUGUGUGGUGCAUUUCUGGAACUAAUAAGGUUUAUUUCAAACAACUCUGUUGCAAGUGCCAAAAGAGUUUUAACCCUUAUCGAGUAGAAGCAAUCCACUGUCAGGGAAAUAAUCAGUGGAGAAACCAUCAUUUAUUCUCAGGACAUGGAGCUCUCCUGCUGGAAUAGAUAUCUAGGUGGUCAUGACCCAGCUCCACGUCUAGGAAAUCGAAGUCCCUAAAGACUCUAAACUGCUGCUCGCUGUUUGUGUCGUCCAUGUUCUCCUGUUCCCUGGCGCCGUCCUCGGAAGAUACCAGGCUUGUCUGAUGCUCCAGCAGAUCCAAGUCCCCACACGAGGAAAAAAUCACCUACGAGUCAAAAGAGCCCUCUCCUGAGAAACUGGUCUGCCUUCAGUUGUUUGUGCUAUGAAAAACAGUAAUUGGCUCUUCAUAGCACUGUAUUUCCAGUACACACCUAAUUCCUUAAGUGGGUAUUUUUAGAAUGUUCUUUUAUUAUUUAUGUUGGACAGGUGCCUUUGGAUUAAACUCCUCGCAAAGAUGCAAGUUCAUGCACCAGGAAAACGGUGAGGAGUAGAAUUGCUGCCUGUUAAUGGAUAAAGACGGGACACUAACUGUGUGUGUGAGAGAGACUGAAAACUGAGCAUGUGUUCACAAACUGGAACACUAAGACUGUUUCCCAGUGUUUCUGACCUAAUUAAAAUGAGAUAUUGUACACAGUCACAAGCACGUAUAUGUCAAAUACACAUAGAUGAUAGCUUAUUACAGAAUGAACCAUAGGAACAAAGAUUUUAGCCCUUUUAGAGAUAAACCAGGAACUGGUAAGGAAUAAGAAAUAGAAGCCAAAAGAAUAGUACUUCUCAUUGGAAUUGCAGAAAAGAUGAAUACCAUGCCCAUAAUUUGUACUUAAAUUUCUGUCCUUUUGAGUUAAACAAAUCUGUAAUAUGUUAAUGUUUUAAAAUUCUACAUUUAGGUUUCUUUUUUACUGAGCCAUUGUAAUAGCACUUUGUAGAAACAAUGAACUUUGAAUAAACCUAAAGGUUUUGCUAGUCAGUAUCUACUGAGCAUAGGCUGAAAUUAAGUAAAAUUAACAGUGAUUUUAUGUAACCAUUAUGUUUCAGUCUUUGAAAAAUGGGGAAGUCUAUGGAAAAAAUGUCAGUUGUAUUUAAAUUCUUAGAGUAAAAAAGAGCGAAGGGACUUUAAAUAUAGUUUUUUUCCUCUAGUGUUUAAGUUGUAAGAUAUAUACUAUACUGUUGAAUACCCCAAAUCUGAAAAUCCAGAAUCUGAAACUUUUUGAGUGUUGACAUGAUCAAAAUAUUCAUUUUUUUGGGGGGGGGGGUACUGGGGAUUGAACUCAGGGGCACUCAACCACAUCUCUAGCCCUAUUUUGUAUUUUAUUUAGAGACAGGGUCUCACUGAGUUGCUUGGUGCCUCGUUGAAGCUGAUGCUGGCUUUGAACUUGCAAUCCUCUGCUUCAGGCUCACAAGCUGCUGAGAUUACAGAACUGCUAUGGAUUACAGAAGAGGGACGACCUUGCUCAUCUGAAAUCACCAUAGCCAAAGGCCAAGAGAACCUGGAGAUUCAGAGGUCAUUGCUGCCUCCAUGUAAAGAGCCAACCUGAGAAUGAAGUCAACAGAUGGGAAAAUAUGGGGCCAAGACUUUGUAAAGGGAAGGUGGGGACAGUGAGAAGAAGAAUCUAAAGCUCUUGUUCCUGACCUUUGUCAGGAUCCAGCUGUUUGAAGCCAAGUUAGGUGGUACUAUAGUUUAGAUCUUGAAUGUCCCCAUGUGUUAAAGGUUUGGGCAUUAGCCUAUAGUGCUCUUGGGAGGUGGUGGGAACCUCUUAAAGAGUAGAAAUCGGUUAGGUUACUGGGGGCAUGCCCAUGAAGGGGCUUUUGAGGGUCUUAGCCCUUUCCUUUCUUCCUUUGCUUACUGGCUGCCAUGAGGUGAUUGGGCACCUCCUCUGCCACAUACACCUGCCAUGAGGUACUGUGCCAUCACAGGUCCAAGGGAAUAGAGCCACGUGACCAGACUGAAACUCUGAAAUCAUGAGCCAAAAUAAAGCUUUCUUCUUUAUAAGUUGAUUCUCUCAGGAUUUGGUAGGAGUGCACAAAAGUGACUAACACAGAUGGUUUAAUUCCUUUUCUACUUCAGGAAAAUUUUCAGUGGAUUUCUGCUACAGCACUAAAAGACUUUUGAAUAAUGCAGUGUUUUACCUGACUAAGCCCAAUGACAUCAGUACUUUGACACAGUCAUCUGUAAACUGAAUACAGUCCUAGGCUAUAUAAUCAAACUACAGAGAAGUCUAGCAGCCCCCUCCACUCAGCCUAUGCAUGGAGAUCAUGAUUAAAGUCGAUGCUCCUAAGAGGAGCCAGAAUGGUCUUUUAGUGUACAGCCCUAUUGACUCUUUGGGUGUCUAAAACCCAUGGAAUUGACUGUUUGAAGGGCUGCUGCAAUGUGAAAGAUUUUUGUUUUCUAAGCCUUAAGAAAACUAGAAUCAAUGAGUAGAAGUAACAGAGUCCAACUUCAACUCCACAUAAUGAGCUGUUCAAAGAUAAAAUGGGUGUCCUCAGAAUGCUGUGAGACUCAUCACUGGAAGUGUUGCUGUCUGGAUGAAAAAAUGUUGUGAGUGGGCAUGGAGGAAUCCAAUAUCACAUGGGCAGCUGGACUCGGUAGGUCCUCUAAACUGCCUUCUAACAAUGCAUGUCUAGGAUUGUAUACCUGAGAAUACUGAGGCCUUUUCCAGCUGACUGGAACAAGAACAUUGGAAUUGGAGCCUGAUGAGGUGGAUGAUGUGCUCCGGGUAACUGCCAUGGCCCUAGGCUUCCCAUCACGCCCAGAAGAAUUCUGUAGUUCAUCAUACCGCCUCCCAAUGAUUGGUGUCUGGAGAAAAAAACCACAAAACACUCAUUCUUCCAUCUCAUUAAUAAUUCUGUGGUAUAUAAAAUGGGACUGUUCUACCCAGCAGCAACUGAAAAAUGCUCAAGUGAUUCAAAGUAGGUCCUAGAAGUUUAGUGUUACAUAUAAGCUCAUUUCCCUAAUGUUCAAAUAUACAUUCUGAAUCAUUUUUUAUCUUCAAUAUUUUCCCAUCCUCUUUAGCAGUAGAAAACAAAUUCAAGAACUUGUUCUUUAAUAUGCUUUAGAAACCACUGAAAAGAUUAGAUGCAAAACAUGGAGGAAAGCUAACAGUUUUCAGACGUUUAACUAUAAGGAAGAACUUCUGCCAGUUAUAAUGAAAGGCCAAAAUUCCUUCCCCUCUCUCCAACCGCUAAUCAUCAAUCUUUAAAUACUCUUCAUUUUUUUUUAAGGUUUUUUUUUUUUUUUUGGUACUAGAAUUGAACUCGGGGGCACUCAACCUCUGAGCCACAUCCCCAGCCCUAUUUUGCAUUUUCUUCACAGACAGGGUCUCAGUUGCUUAGCACCUCACCAUUGCUGAGGCUGGCUUUGAACUCAUGAUCCUCCUGCCUCAGCCUCUUGAGCUCCUGGGAUUACAAGCAUGUGCCACUGUGCCUGGUACUCUUCAUUUUUAAAAGGUUACAUUAUGUGUAUCUUUUCAAUUUUAUUUAAAUGGAUGAGGUCAGAACCAGGUACUUGGGCAACACUUUAGAACUUCUACUUCCUGAAAGCCUUGGGGUGUGGUAGACAGUGCCUCCCAAACUUGAGUCCCAGGAAGGUCUCUGCUGCAGACACCAGCUCACAGGCCUGUCCUCAGAGGUGGCAGGAACUGACUGGUAAUUUUACACCUGGCUCCUAAGGCUCAUCAUUCUGGAGUAUUUCUGGGUCUCUGUGUGUUGAGGGAUGCAGCUAACUGGCUAUUUAUAUAUUAUAUCUCUUGGGAGUAGAAUAAACGCAAGUCUAAGAAUAAAAAUAACUUUCUCCCUAGCAAGUAAAAAUGAUGCAUAGAGAUUGAAUCAAUAUCUUAAUAUUAUUUAUAUACUAAAUAUAGAUGCAGGCGUCACAGUGCAGCAAGGGUAUCUCAUCUCAAAUACUGAAACAAGAAGUCAGUGAAUACUAUUGUGUCAAAGAAGCAACCUGGAUGUAACCUAUUUAAGAGUGCAAGGGGGUUCCACAUAAGCAGAUCCCAUUUUUUUCUCCACUCUUGGGGAAUGCAUUAAUUCAGCAGUGUUUGGAAAUAAUUGUUAACAAUCUCUGUGCACCAGACAUGGUACCACCAGGCUCUGAUUAUAAAUAUCAGCAGAGUAGUUUCUGCUUUGGAGGGGGCAUGCUACAUGGGUCAUGGGAUAAGAGAUACAAAAGUCAAGUUAUGUUAUACUUUAGACUUAAUUAAGUACAGGCACCCAAAGGUAGGCUCAGGAAGCAGCAGGUAAAUCUGACCAUUUUUUGUCCUUUCUUUUUUCCCUCAAUUCUGUAGCAUGGGUUCUUAAUUUCUCUUUCCCUUACCCUGUUCAAGGCAACCAUAAAGGUGGAUUCCAUAUUCCUGUAAUUCCAAACUGCAGUCAUUUAUGGAUCUGGUAUAGAUCGGAGAAAAAGGUUAUGGCUAGAAAGAUAUGACAUGAUACUUGUAAGAUAAAGAAUGAGUGACAUGGCUUACAAUGUUUAAUAUUCCAUUUUAAAGUAGCUUUCUAAAAAAUUGUUUUUCAUAUAACUGAGGUUUCUUUUCUUUUUUUUUUUUUUUUUGGUACCAGGUUUUGAACUCAUGGGUACUUGGCCACUGAGCCACAUCCUUAGCCCUAUUUUGUAUUUUAUUUAGAGACAGAGUCUCACUGAGUUGCUUAGUGCCUCACUGUUGCUGAGGCUGGCUUUGAACUCACAAUCCUCCUAUCUUAGCUUCCCGAGCUGCUGGGAUUAUAGGCGUGCAUCACCACACCCAGCUAGGUUAGAUUCUGUUUCUUAAAGCUGCCAAUUGUGAGCCCCAGAGAAUAUGAAAUUCAGUUUUCUUUUCUUUCUUUUUUAUGGUGCUUUGCAUCAAACACAGGGGCUUAUACAUGCUCAUCCUCAGCCCUUCAGUGUGUUCUUAAUAGAAUGGAACCAAAUUUAGACCUUUGCAGUCUUUGUUUAUAAUAAAUAUAAGUCUUCCCUUCUUCAGGAAAUUACUUGUAACUUUUGCCAUCAUAAGUUCAUGCUGAAGUUCACAGAAACAGCUAACAAAGUUAAGUACCUCUGAAAUGUCAAAGUGAAAGUCCAGGGUUUUUCCAGGUAGUUCCUUGGAAGCACUAGUCCACACACGAUGUAUUUCUAUCUUUGAGAGGUCACUGUGCUGGUAGGAAGGCAACACCAGGCUGGCCGAUCGAGACACGACCAACUUUAAGAUAUUCAAAGCCUCUCUCCAGUGAAUGCUCUGUAAGAAAUAAAACACUCAAGGUUAAAAACAACUUCAUUUUGGAAAGCUAACUGCUGCUGAAAUUGACUGACUUAAAACAUGUAGGGAAUUCGGUGAUAAGUAAAAGGCGAAUGAUAUAAGUAGACCAUUUAUAUCUAAAAUGAGCUACAUUUAGGAAAUAAGCAAAUAAAAAAGACUCAUUUUGUCUGUAUUCAAAUGAAUAAAGUUAAAAAAAUCACAAGUACAAUUUUUGCCAAGGAGCUACCUCCUUAAUUUGAUUAAAAAAAAAAAAAGCUCCCAAUGCUAAAAUGUUAUGCUGUUGACUAUUCACUCUUUCUCAAAGUUCUCCCCCCUCCAGGUUCUAGGUUUCAGUCUUCCUUGAUCCUUUGACUUCUUUGGGUCUUCUUGUUCCAUUUUAUUCCUGGGCCUCUUGAUCUCUUUUCUCACUUCAUAUCUUUCUUGUUACCUAACACAGGAUUCUGGAAGCUCUUCUUAACUCCUCCUACCUUUCCCUUUGAUAUUUCUUUCCCUGUUUAAACUCAGUGGAAUUCUCUCUGGCCCUGCCCAGAUUAUUUCAAUGGCCCCUUAGCUAGCCUUAGAAUCAGCUACCCUGAUCUUUCUAGAACUCUUCAGAGUAGGCUCUCAGAGAGUCUCUAUCUCCAUGCUUCAAUGGCUCCCUCUAGUGGACAGGGUGGUGUCCACACUCUGAGCAUGACCUGCAGAUCUCAUUCCAUGCAGCUACUACUAGAGUACCUUAGGCCAGGCAAGGUCUCUUUGGCCUCUGUGCCUUUCCUUAUGCUAUCCCCUCAUCCUGGAAUGCUUUUCCUUUCCUUAAUAUAUAUCAACUUCCUGCUCUUCUUUAACAAUUAGUUUGUUUUACCAUCUUUGUUUUCUUGACUUGUGGGAAGAGGUACUUCCCCCACAAAAAUAUUGAACAUAGUUAAAGCAACUUAAUAACAAUUGUAAUUAUUUUUAUAAUAAUAAAUAAAAUACAUCUCCUUCCUUAAAUUCUGCACAAGGGAAAUCAUGGAUUAAAUAUGAAAUUAGCCAUUAUUCAAGAUAAGAAAUUAAGUACCAGAGAUGGCCUGCAAGCCCAGGACAGAGUGAACAUCCUACUAAUACAACAAGAAAACGGGCCACAUGAUUAAUAGAAAGAUGUAGCUGACCCCCUCAUCCCGUGAGUGCUGAAAUUCUUAUUGAAUGAAUGCCUAUCUUGUGGCGCAACUAUCAUUGGCACUUUAAAAGUGAAGAAAAAAAAAUAAACAACUUUUAGCAUUAAAUAAUUCUAGUAAUUGUCAUUGGUGGAGAUGGAAAGGAAUAUCUAAACUUUACACUACCUGUCAGUGAGAUUUGCCAGAGCAAGCCUAGUGUUUGCUCUUGAAUUCUGCAACUCUCCACGCACACUCCUGAGAAGAAAGAGAGGAACAACUAGAUGUGGAGAAGCCUGCGCUCCCUAUGUUCAGUCUGUGGUGUGUGCUUCAGAUAAACUUCUAGGCUCUAGAAACGGUUUCUGUUCUCUUUGCUCCUUUGAGAUCUACUUAUAUUUUUCUUUUAUUUCUAUUAAUCCCCACCUCUUCCCCCACCCAGUUGGGGAGUCUCAGGAUAUGGCUUUAAAGAAACAUUCUGUAGGUGUUUAUUGAUGUUCACCAAGUGUUCUGCUGUGCUGGGUGCCUGGUUCAGUGAAACAAAAGAAAUGACUUUGGAGCCAGAUUCAAAUACCAGCUCCACCCUCUACUAACUGAGAUCUUGGGGCCAGUCUCUGGUUGAUUUUUGUUUUUAUUAAAUCUUUCAAGACUGUUUAUGAUGGAAAUAUUAAAAUAACACAGAAACAGAGACUAGCAUAAUGAACCUCCAGACACUCUUAUUAGUUAUUCACAUUGUCAUUUUACUUAUGAUCUCAACAAACAGUUGGAGUGUUUUAAAGAACAUUUAUGCAAGUAUCUUAACCUUAGUUGGCUUACUCUAAAGUGGGGAUUUUAACUGCUGAGUAACUUUUCACAUGUUGAGGCACCUGGUCUGGAACCUGGUACAUGGCACGCAUACAAGUUCCUUGUCCCUCCUCCUCCUUUGAAAUGAGAUACCAGAAAUAAGAUCUGCCCCUGCCCUCCCAGCCAGGUGUGUGCUUUUAAUAUGCAGCCUACAAGCCCCAGUAGGCAGAACUGUGCCCUCUGAAGGUCAGGAAUGUGCCAAGGCCUCAUUCUGUCUUCUCAGAGUGCCACUCAGGAUGCUGUCAACCACCUGGCUGGACUGCCCUUCCUUUGUCAUGGAUACCAAGGAAUGAAUACAUGAUCUAGUGCCCAUAAGGCUUUGUACCCAAGGACAAAUUAUAGACAAGUCUCAGUCUUUUUGGAUUGACUCUGCUGAUAAGUAAACUUAUGCAGAUACUCACUUGCACGUAUUUUUCAAUAGUCUUAAGAACUUCCACAUUAAACUGCUUGACAGGAACAACAGAAAGGUCCAUGUAGCUGAGCAGACUGUAGAUCACUUGGAGGAGGGGCUGUUGCAUACUGGGGAGACCUUUCUCCAGCAACUGUGGGAGGUAAAGUGCAGGUGAAGUUAGCUCUACACAGGACUUUCCCAUAGAAGCACCCAGGUUUCCCCAGAUCUUUACCAUUGCAUAUUAGGAGGGAAAAUAAAAGAUCCUAACUUCUGAGGAAAUGGAGAUACCAUCAAAGGCACAGGGACAUCAUAAAAUGUACACAUGUAAUAUUAAAAAAAUUAAUCUCAAAAGGAAAGCAUCAAACAACAUUAAUCAUCAACAAUUAUAAAUUGUAUAAAUUAUAUAAAUUAUAAAUUGCAAUAUAAUUUUUCAGUUAUGAAAUUGGCAAAGAUUAGAAACUGGCAAUAUUUAGUAUUGGUAAGGAGAAAAGGAAUUAGGUAUUCUUAUACAUCAGUAGAAAUGUAAAUUGGAUAAUUUGUUAUUUGAGAUCAUGAGCAAUAAAGAGGUCCAUAUUUUUGGAAUAAUAUUUACACUCUUAGGAACAUUUCUUUCCAAAACCAGAGAUAAACACUAUGAAAUCAGAGUGAAUGUAUGAGAUUUCUGUAAUUAAAUGGUUAAAAAAGCAUACACAAAACAAGAAAGCACUACAAGCAAUUUAAAUAUUGAACAUCAGGGAAAUUGAUAUAUAAAUUAAUAGUAAAUUACAUUGUGAACUAUUAUGUAGUUAAUAGAAUAAUGUUUUAAAGACAGCAAAGCAUAUUAGAUGAUAUUAAGUUGAAGACAAAGCAUAUAUAAUUGUCUUACAGAACCAGCCUAGGUGUCCAUAAAUGGAUGAAUGGAUAAAAAAAAAAAAAUACACAGUGGAGUUUUAU